UACGUAGGGUGCGAGCGUUGUCCGGAAUUAUUGGGCGUAAAGAGCUUGUAGGCGGUUUGUCGCGUCUGCCGUGAAAUUUCGAGGCUCAACCUCGAACUUGCGGUGGGUACGGGCAGACUAGAGUGUGGUAGGGGAGACUGGAAUUCCUGGUGUAGCGGUGAAAUGCGCAGAUAUCAGGAGGAACACCGAUGGCGAAGGCAGGUCUCUGGGCCACUACUGACGCUGAGAAGCGAAAGCAUGAGGAGCGAACAGG
rnacentral:rRNA from 1 species